GCGAGUAUUGGCCCUCACGGGUCUAAUCCACCACAAACACCUUUGUGAACCAGUCAGGGGGACUCGGCCGUGAAAGCCCAGGCGAUUAGCGGAAGGGCCUUCCUUUGCAAACCCGUUAGAAGUCUUGAAAGUACUUUUGUAUAAUCUAGUA
rnacentral:misc_RNA from 1 species